UAUUGGAGACAGUAACUUGUGCUCUGGGUUCCACAGGGCCGUGGAGGGAGGGGAACUGGGCUUAAGGAUGGAUCACACCCACAGCCGAUUCUGACGAGACCUUGUACUUAGCCUUGUUACUGAGCGGCUUUGGGGAGGUUGUGAUGGAAUGAAUUUUGCAUAUGGGAAGAAAUGUCUUUUGGGGGUCCACAGGGGAAACUGUGGUAGAUUGAACCGUGCAUCCCAGUUUGGACAUGGUCUGCGUUCAGGUGGGUGUGGACCCACUGGAAAUACCAUCUCUUGCAGAUGUGACUUCAGGUGAGGUGUGACCAAGUGAGUCAGGUUGGCCUGUAAUCUGGAUUGAUGGAGACUUUCUAAGCAGAGUGAAAAUCCGACGGAGAGAAGCCACGGGGAGCAGCCAGAAUGUGAAGUCAACGGAACCGGAGAACGGAGGAGACACCGCCAUGUGCGUUGUCACGUGACGGAAGAGCCAAGGAACCCCAAAGACGGCCGGACAGCCGGAAGGGCUGGCAUCAAAUUUUGGCAGGAUGGAUCACUACCCUGGAGGUCCACAUGGCUGCCAGCAGGGCUGGAGCAGGGGAGGUCAGGAAAAGCUGCCAUAGCUCCUGGGUUCCUGCCAGCUUCCCAGCGUUGGGAUUUCGGAGGAGCUGCAGGGAAUCUCUGCUGAUGGGCACUGCUGCCCGGAGCACAGAGGCGGGUAUUUAGAGAACACAGAGGAACUCUGGGUUUCCCGCGCUGCGGUGGGUGCAGUUUGGGGACGUACGUCGUAUCCUCGGAGAACAGCCAGGUGGAAGGAGAGGAGCUGCAGGGGAAUCACACUCAGGAUGCCCUGGAGGCAGUCCACGGUCGGGGGCAGCUCGAUCGUUUUAUACGCAAACUUGGAACUUUCGGUGUCGUCCUUGGAGCACAGUAUAAUGGGGCGACCCUACGGCAGAGAAGUCAGUCACAGAUGGAGCCCAUCUCCGGAAGAGGCAGUCGUUCAUAGACAGCCACGUUCCUGACGCCAGCGUGGUUCUGCUGUCCUUCAGGCCUCAGUUCAGAUGUCUCCUCUGUAGACAAAACUCCCCAGACCUCACCACCUCUUGGAGUUGCGGCAGUUAUGGGUGAGGCGAUGCCUGUGACUGGCGGUGUCAGUUUAUCAGCGUUGGCCGUGUUCUGGUGUUUCCUCCCCUUCCCCGUAAGGUGGCCCCAGGCCGUGGGGUUCACCCACCACCUGUCUGUUGAGAGGCUUCAGUGAGCCUUGCAAAGGGAGGGUGGACCCACCCCUCACUCUAAGGGGCUUGUGGUUCCGUGGUGGAAAACAAAAACGUAAAAGAGCAAACCAAUCAAUAAAGACGGAUUUCCGGUCAGGGCUAUGGAAGCGAUAAAGCAGGGUAAUGUGAUCAGGAGAAGGUGGUGAGGUCUGGGAAGUUCACUGAGACCUGAAGGACAUGGAGCCAGCUGUCUGAUUUGUGGAAAGAACAUUCCAGGCCCCGAGGGGUCGGCUGGCACAGAGGCUCCGACGCAGGAAUAGGCCAGAAGGACGGAAGGCAUGGGUGAUG